UUGAGUGUCUGAAGUUCAUCAUGCCACAUUUCCCAGUGUAAGGAAGUUCAGAACUAAAUGGAAUGAUUUAAAUUCUUGACUUAAGGAGACCAGCAGCUUUGAUAAUGCUGCCAAAUUAUCCUCACAGUAUCAGAAAGAAAAAAUUGACCUAAAGACUUGCGCUGUAAGAAUGUUUUUUUGAGGAGGUGUCUCCAUGCUUGGCAUGAAAACCAGGGGAGGAAAGAAAACAGCAGAAGCAGAAGCUACCCUCACCUCCCCAUCACUUGUCUGCCCUGAAGCAGGACAUAAGACCCUCAUUUGAGAGGUGCCCUUCCUUAUCUCUGAAGACAAAGGAACAUUCUUAUCUCUGAAGACAUAGGAACAUCGAGAAGAAUGGAGUAUGCUUAUCUAUGAAGACAUGAGAACACAGAGAAGAAUCUGAACAAACGGGGCUUGCUAAGUUCCCUGCAGUUUAUCGGCAUUAGAUUAUACAAUUUUGUCCUCCCUUUGUAUUUCUCUAUGACUGUCCAUGAUUCAUCAAACCUAAACAUAAUAAUAUACAAGUCUACUUGUUUCUUUGGGUCUUCAUUUCCAAAGCCUCCCAUGUUCAUAAAUAUAUUAAAUAAAUGUAUAU
rnacentral:lncRNA from 1 species